CACUCCACCAGGGCAGAAGCAAGAGUGUGACGCAAGAGUGAGACAAGAGUCACCAGGGGCCAGAAGAAAACUCGCCAGCUCAAGGAGAAUCUUGCAGGCGUUGUGCAGAGCUACAGCCACUAAGAGCCUGCAAGUGGACUUCGUUAGCCACUGCAGGUCAAUGAAGGAAUGUGCACGGAGGGCAAGACUGGAAAACAAAGAGCAGCCAGCAGAGUGGGAAUCUGGGUGGAGCCCGGGAGGCCGCUUUAGUCGAUAUCUCCAGGCAAAGGAUGUCCCGUGAGUCCCUGCGCUCCACUUACCUGGAAAGAAGGUGGGAUUCGGGUCUGUUCGGCUGUCUCAUCCCAUAACCCGGCAUAUCCUUUUCACCAUGGAGGACAGAGGACCAGGUGGAGAGCAGAGCUACACGAGGUCUUGAAGGCCUAGGCUCGGGCUUGGCUGACCACGGGUCAAAGCCAGUCAGAGGCCCAGGCCAGGUGGCGGUGGAAUAGAGCAUGAAUAUUCACUGAGUGAUUGUCCAUCUACCUCGCCUCAUUUCAUAGAUGAGAGAAACAAGCCCAGGAGAAGCUGAUGUGUCCAGAAGCAGCAGCCUAAAUCCAGAGGCCGCCCUCUUUACCACCGUGGUAUGUUGCCUCCACGAAGGUUGCAAUAACAGACCCACUGGGGUACAUAGGAAAUAGCUUUUUUAAUUGGUUAAGGCUCAAUUGCAGAAAUCUACCUCUACUUUAGCUAUUUUAAGCAGAAAGGGAUUAAAUGCAGGGUGUUAGGAACUUUUCGAUCAUUGAAACGAGUAGAGGAGCAGACUCUAGGUUGAAGUUCCAAAAACAAGUAGAAUGCCGACACAGAACUGUCCUGGGGAGAGGAGUGAUGCUUGUGCUGGGAUCAGCAAGCCAGGGAUAGAGAAGCUGCCUCCACAGCUGCUGGCUUCAGGACCACAGGCUUCUGCUGUGCCUCUCAAACCCGCAAAGCUAAGGAUGGGACAUGACGUGCCUUUAAGCGAAAGAGUAACAGGUACAACACGUGGAUGUUUGCUAAGUCUUCCGGUAUAGUGAGAAACCAAGGCUGGGAAUGAUUCUAAUGACUGCAAAAAAAGAAAACCUUUCAUAAAAAAGUUGGUUCCUGUUCUCUCAUCAAAAUUGAUGGAGGUCCAGCUCUCUCUCAGCCAUCUCAGCAAAUAAACUCACUGCCCUCCCCACUAUGUGGGACCUGACUCCCAGGGGUGUAAAUCUCCCUGGCAACUGGGAUAUGACUCCUGGGGAUGGAUGUAGCACUGCCCAGAUAGACUUGAAGAUUGAGAGAAUGAUCAAAUGAGACGGAGGAGGUGUCAACUGAGAAAUUAGCAUUUAACAAAUGACAGUGACUCUGUGUAUAGAUAUUUCUUUUUAGUGUUUAGAGUGUUUUAGAGUAGACAGAAGGAAACACCUGAGGUUGUUGAACUGUAAUCCAAUAGCCCUGAUCGGUUGCCUGUCUUUGUAAGGAUGUACUUCUGGAUGUUUUGUUCUGUUCCACUUAUCUAUGUAUCUAUCUCUGCCAAUACUACACUUUCUUAGUUAACCCAUCUCUAUUGUAAGUUUUAAGUUGUGUUAGCACACAAUACUAGUGAUCAAUGAGGGGGGUGGGGUAAGGGGUAUGGGAUGUGUGGGGUUUUCUUUUUUGUUUGUUUUUCUUUUUCUGGAGUAAUGCAAAUGUUCUAAAAAUAAUCAGGUGAUGAAUGCACAACUGUCCCAGCCCAAGAGGGCCAGGCCAGUCCAAACACCAAAGAAGACAACGAGCAUUUUCUGACACAUGAACUUUUAUUCUGGGCUUACUUACAGGGUGAGAAGUCGUGGAGAGAUCAUGGCGGCUCUCUCAGGCCGGGCAGGCAUCGCAUUUGCAGGGAAG